GGUUACCAGAGGCUGGGAGGAGAAGGGGCAGGGAGGGUGUAUGGAAGUUGGUUUAUGGGUACAGAAAUACGAUUAUAUUGAAGGAAUAUUUUCUAGUAAUUGGUUGCACAGUAGGGAAAUUAUAGUUAAUAGUUAUUUAUUUGAUAUAUCAAUAAAAAAUAGAAAAGAAAAAAGGAAACACGCAUUUUUGCUAGAAUAUAUUUAGUCUAUAAGUCAGUGGUUUUCAAAUUAAUUUUUAACAUCAUAAAUCUUUGCAAG
rnacentral:lncRNA from 10 species